UACGUAGGGGGCAAGCGUUGUCCGGAAUUAUUGGGCGUAAAGCGCGCGCAGGCGGUCAAUUAAGUUGGGUGUUUAAGCCCGGGGCUCAACCCCGGUUCGCAUCCAAAACUGGUUGACUUGAGUGUAGGAGAGGAAAGUGGAAUUCCACGUGUAGCGGUGAAAUGCGUAGAGAUGUGGAGGAACACCAGUGGCGAAGGCGACUUUCUGGCCCGAUACUGACGCUGAGGCGCGAAAGCGUGGGGAGCAAACAGG
rnacentral:rRNA from 1 species